rnacentral:rRNA from 1 species
UACGUAGGGUGCGAGCGUUAAUCGGAAUUACUGGGCGUAAAGCGUGCGCAGGCGGUUCGCUGUGUCCGAUGUGAAAGCCCCGGGCUUAACCUGGGAAUGGCAUUGGAAACUGGCGAGCUGGAGUGUGGCAGAGGGGGGUGGAAUUCCGCGUGUAGCAGUGAAAUGCGUAGAGAUGCGGAGGAACACCGAUGGCGAAGGCAGCCCCCUGGGCUAGCACUGACGCUCAGGCACGAAAGCGUGGGGAGCAAACAGG